rnacentral:rRNA from 1 species
CUACGGUGGCUGCAGUGAGGAAUACUGCACAAUGGGGGGAACCCUGAUGCAGCAACGCCGCGUGGAGGAUGACGCAUUUCGGUGUGUAAACUCCUUUUAUAUGUCAAGAAAAUGACGGUAGCAUAUGAAUAAGCACCGGCUAACUCCGUGCCAGCAGCCGCGGUAAUACGGAGGGUGCAAGCGUUACUCGGAAUCACUGGGCGUAAAGGACGCGUAGGCGGGUUGGAAAGUCAGGUGUGAAAUCCUACAGCUUAACUGUAGAACUGCACUUGAAACUUCUAAUCUAGAGUAUGGGAGGGGGAGAUGGAAUUAGUGGUGUAGGGGUAAAAUCCGUAGAUAUCACUAGGAAUACCUAAAGCGAAGGCGAUCUCCCGGAACAUUACUGACGCUAAGGCGUGAAAGCGUGGGGAGCAAACAGGAUUAGAUACCCGCGUAGUC